rnacentral:rRNA from 1 species
AUUGAACGCUGGCGGUAUGCUUAACACAUGCAAGUCGAACGGUAACAGGAGAGAGCUUGCUCUCUUGCUGACGAGUGGCGGACGGGUGAGUAACGCGUAGGAAUCUGCCUAGUAGUGGGGGACAACCUGGGGAAACUCAGGCUAAUACCGCAUACGCCCUACGGGGGAAAGCGGGGGAUCUUCGGACCUCGCGCUAUUAGAUGAGCCUGCGUUGGAUUAGCUUGUUGGUGAGGUAAUGGCUCACCAAGGCGACGAUCCAUAGCUGGUCUGAGAGGACGAUCAGCCACACUGGGACUGAGACACGGCCCAGACUCCUACGGGAGGCAGCAGUGGGGAAUAUUGGACAAUGGGGGCAACCCUGAUCCAGCAAUACCGCGUGUGUGAAGAAGGCCUGCGGGUUGUAAAGCACUUUCAGUAGGGAAGAAAAGCCUAGGGUUAAUAUCCUUGGGUCUUGACGUUACCUGCAGAAGAAGCACCGCUAA